GGUCCUGACUAGCUCAGCUGGUGGAGCAUGGCAUCGACGUUGCCAGGGUGAGGGGUCGAUCCCCACUGGGACCA